UUUUCGAAAAAGAAAAAAGCA
rnacentral:piRNA from 1 species